AUUGAACGCUGGCGGCAUGCCUUACACAUGCAAGUCGAACGGCAGCACGGGUGCUUGCACCUGGUGGCGAGUGGCGAACGGGUGAGUAAUACAUCGGAACAUGUCCUGUAGUGGGGGAUAGCCCGGCGAAAGCCGGAUUAAUACCGCAUACGAUCUACGGAUGAAAGCGGGGGACCUUCGGGCCUCGCGCUAUAGGGUUGGCCGAUGGCUGAUUAGCUAGUUGGUGGGGUAAAGGCCUACCAAGGCGACGAUCAGUAGCUGGUCUGAGAGGACGACCAGCCACACUGGGACUGAGAAACGGCCCAGACUCCUAAGGGAGGCAGCAGUGGGGAAUUUUGGAAAAUGGGCGGAAGCCUGAUCCAGCAAUGCCGCGUGUGUGAAGAAGGCCUUCGGGUUGUAAAGCACUUUUGUCCGGAAAGAAAUCCUUGGCCCUAAUACGGUCGGGGGAUGACGGUACCGGAAGAAUAAGCACCGGCUAACUACGUG
rnacentral:rRNA from 1 species